UCCCCUCAGGUUGUCGAAACGUCAGUUGUCACGAUCGUCGACAAUCCUUUUCAUGACGGCUCUCACGUUCGAUUAAACCACAUGGACUGUAACUGCUAUCUUCAGGUCAUUUACGACAUUUUCUUCCGAGUCUGUCUGAUCGAAAGGCAAUAAAAGGCGCUGUUUGAAGCUAAUUGUUUGCAGACGAAAAAGGCGUCCUCGUGAUGAACAGACUGUUUCUUUUAGCGUUGGUCGGCUUUAUCCUGGCCAUAGGAUUUGCCCUGCAAGAUGGAGAGAUAUCAAAUAGCACCGAAAUCGAAAAAGGUGCAACUGACUUGAAAUCAGCAGGUGCUGAGAGUUUUAUGGAACAAAGUUCAUUAGAUGUAGGGGAACAUGAUCGGUAUCCACGCGAUACUGUCGACCGAUACCGCCGUCGUUCCCCUUGCCGUCGACGUAGACGACGACGAAGACGUCGACGUCGACGUCGACGCAGACGUUGUGGCUGGCGUAGACGUCGUCGUCGAGGGGACUAACAGCGAAAAGGGCUGCUUUGUCUCAGAAUAUUUAGAUUUCCAAGGAAGAUGUCCCUAUUGAAAAUAUUGGACUUGGUUUAGAUGUGUUUUCCUGCUCUAGCAGGAUUUUUAUGGUGAAGUAAAAGCUGGGAUGUAAAACAUACAAGUGAGCAUUAAAAGCAGCCUUUUAAGGAAAGGAA